AGUAAGAAGAGGAGAUGUCUCUGGUGGGACUUUUGCUCUGGUGGGACUACUUUUCUAGUAGUGGCUCAGAAACGAUGCCUUAGAUGAUGACUUGAAAACUUGUGACAACUCUGCACAACUUCAGGGGUCUGAAACUGGAUUGAAAAUGGGUUAGAAACCAGAAGGAUUAACCACAAAUGUUUAUGUACUAUCACAACAGAAGGACCCUGGAGAUUUGCUAUACAGUAAAACCUUGGAUUGCAAGUAA